rnacentral:rRNA from 1 species
UGGCGAACGGGUGAGUAACACGUGGGUAACCUGCCCAUCAGAAGGGGAUAACACUUGGAAACAGGUGCUAAUACCGUAUAACACUAUUUUCCGCAUGGAAGAAAGUUGAAAGGCGCUUUUGCGUCACUGAUGGAUGGACCCGCGGUGCAUUAGCUAGUUGGUGAGGUAACGGCUCACCAAGGCAACGAUGCAUAGCCGACCUGAGAGGGUGAUCGGCCACACUGGGACUGAGACACGGCCCAGACUCCUACGGGAGGCAGCAGUAGGGAAUCUUCGGCAAUGGACGAAAAGUCUGACCGAGCAAACGCCGCGUGAGUGAAGAAGGUUUUUCGGAUUCGUAAAAACUUCU